GAUCGCACCGUAUUUCCUCCCACAAUGUCCUAGUGGUAAAAACAGAGGAGAGCAGCACUGUUGGAUCUCCCUCCACAUGUUCAACACCUGAAGCCUCUUGAAUUGGACACUGUCGGUGUGGCCGAUGGCAGUCCCGCUGUCCUGCAGCCCUGACAGAGAUACAUCUGUUCAAACAGGAGACGGGAGACAAGGAGACGAGCAUGAAUGCACUGUAGUGACUAAUGAUGUAUCUGAAGAUCCAAGAAAAGAGACUUCAGAUGCUUCUAAAGCAGCGCUGGCGGUGAACUCAGAGGGAGACUCUUUCAUUGCUUUCUUCUUUACAUAGGCUGACCCUGAUCCAGACUGUGGGGCCCCAGAUGACCUGAGGAGUAGGUCAGGAUAUCAGCCUUCUGACCAGCUUCAGCAGCCAGAAGCAGUCUGCGGAUGUCGCUCCCAAAGCACCCAGGGUUUUGC